AUUCCAUGAUGAUUUUGACGACGGUCUUCUGAUACAUAUUUGUAGAUAAAUUAACGUCAAUCUGAGAAA
rfam:Agrilus planipennis Contig11047, whole genome shotgun sequence.